CAGUCGCCGCGGGAAUACAGAGGGUGCAAGCGUUAAUCGGAAUUACUGGGCGUAAAGCGCGCGUAGGUGGUUUGUUAAGUUGGAUGUGAAAGCCCCGGGCUCAACCUGGGAACUGCAUCCAAAACUGGCAAGCUAGAGUACGGUAGAGGGUGGUGGAAUUUCCUGUGUAGCGGUGAAAUGCGUAGAUAUAGGAAGGAACACCAGUGGCGAAGGCGACCACCUGGACUGAUACUGACACUGAGGUGCGAAAGCGUGGGGAGCAAACAGGAUUAGAUACCCCCGUAGUCCCUGUCUCUUAUAC
rnacentral:rRNA from 1 species